rnacentral:rRNA from 1 species
UACGUAGGGUGCGAGCGUUUAUCGGAAUUACUGGGCGUAAAGCGUGCGCAGGCGGUUUUGCAAGACAGAUGUGAAAUCCCCGGGCUUAACCUGGGAACUGCAUUUGUGACUGCAAGGCUAGAGUACGGCAGAGGGGGGGAGAAUUCCACGUGUAGAAGGGAAAGGAGGAGAUAUGUGGAGGAAUACCGAUGGCGAAGGCAGCCCCCUGGGUCGAUACUGACGCUCAUGCACGAAAGCGUGGGGAGCAAACAGG